GUGGGGAAUCUUGCACAAUGGGGGAAACCCUGAUGCAGCGACGCCGCGUGAGCGAUGAAGCCCUUCGGGGUGUAAAGCUCUUUCGUCAGGGAAGAUAGUGACGGUACCUGGAGAAGCAGCUGCGGCUAACUACGUGCCAGCAGCCGCGGUAAUACGUAGGCAGCAAGCGUUGUUCGGAGUUACUGGGCGUAAAGGGUGUGUAGGCGGUUCUUUAAGUUUGCUGUGAAAUCUCCCGGCUUAACCGGGAGGGUGCGGUGAAUACUGAGGGACUAGAGUACGGGAGAGGAAAGUGGAAUUCCUGGUGUAGCGGUGAAAUGCGUAGAUAUCAGGAGGAACACCGGUGGUGUAGACGGCUUUCUGGACCGUAACUGACGCUGAGACACGAAAGCGUGGGUAGCAAACAGGAUUAGAUACCCUUGUAGUCC
rnacentral:rRNA from 1 species